GAUGAACGCUAGCGGCAGGCUUAAUACAUGCAAGUCGAGGGGUAGCAAGAUUGUAGCAAUACAAUUGUUGACGACCGGCAAACGGGUGCGGAACACGUACACAACAGUGCGACAAGUGGGGAAUAGCACAGAGAAAUUUGGAGUAAUACCCCGUAACAUAGCGAGGUGGCAUCACAGGGCGAGUAUAGAGUAGGCGCUUGAUGAUGGGUGUGCGGCUGAUUAGAGAGGGGGCGGGGUAAGGGCCCACCAAGUCUACGAUCAGUAGCUGAUGUGAGAGCAUCCUCCGCCCCCCGGGAACUCAGACCCGGGCCCGCCUCCUUCGGGAGGCCGCAGUAAGGAAUAUUGGCCAAUGGACGCCCGUCUGAUCCAGCCCUGCCGCGUGACUUAUUCAGGUCCUCUUUAUUGUAAACUUCUUUUCUAAGGGACGACCCCAGGUCUUUCUAGAUCGUCUGACGGUACCUUAUGAAUAAGCACCGGCUAACUCCGUCCCAGCCGCCGCCGUAAUAC
rnacentral:rRNA from 1 species